UACCAGCACCCCGAGUGGUCGGGACGAUUAUUGGGCCUAAAGCAUCCGUAGCCGGUUCUACAAGUCUUCCGUUAAAUCCACCUGCUCAACAGAUGGGCUGCGGAGGAUACUAUAGAGCUAGGAGGCGGGAGAGGCAAGCGGUACUUAGUGGGUAGGGGUAAAAUCCGUUGAUCCAUUGAAGACCACCAGUGGCGAAGGCGGCUUGCCAGAACGCACUCGACGGUGAGGGAUGAAAGCUGGGGGAGCGAACGGG
rnacentral:rRNA from 1 species